rnacentral:rRNA from 1 species
UGGGGAAUUUUGGACAAUGGGCGAAAGCCUGAUCCAGCAAUGCCGCGUGUGUGAAGAAGGCCUUCGGGUUGUAAAGCACUUUUGUCCGGAAAGAAAUCCUUGGCUCUAAUACAGUCGGGGGAUGACGGUACCGGAAGAAUAAGCACCGGCUAACUACGUGCCAGCAGCCGCGGUAAUACGUAGGGUGCAAGCGUUAAUCGGAAUUACUGGGCGUAAAGCGUGCGCAGGCGGUUUGCUAAGACCGAUGUGAAAUCCCCGGGCUCAACCUGGGAACUGCAUUGGUGACUGGCAGGCUAGAGUAUGGCAGAGGGGGGUAGAAUUCCACGUGUAGCAGUGAAAUGCGUAGAGAUGUGGAGGAAUACCGAUGGCGAAGGCAGCCCCCUGGGCCAAUACUGACGCUCAUGCACGAAAGCGUGGGGAGCAAACAGGAUUAGAUACCCUGGUAGUCCACGCCCUAAACGAUGUCAACUAGUUGUUGGGGAUUCAUUUCCUUAGUAACGUAGCUAACGCGUGAAGUUGACCGCCUGGGGAGUACGGUCGCAAGAUUAAAACUUAAAGGAAUUGACGGGGUCAUAGCUAGUUUCCU